UUGAACGCUGGCGGCAUGCUUUACACAUGCAAGUCAAACGGUAACAGGGACUUCGGUCUGCUGACGAGUGGCGAACGGGUGAGUAACAUAUCGGAACGUAUCCAGAAGAGGGGGAUAACGCAUCGAAAGAUGUGCUAAUACCGCAUAUUCUCUGAGGAGGAAAGCAGGGGAUCGCAAGACCUUGCGCUUUUGGAGCGGCUGAUGUCUGAUUAGCUAGUUGGUGGGGUAAAGGCCUACCAAGGCGACGAUCAGUAGUUGGUCUGAGAGGACGACCAGCCACACUGGGACUGAGACACGGCCCAGACUCCUACGGGAGGCAGCAGUGGGGAAUUUUGGACAAUGGGCGCAAGCCUGAUCCAGCAAUGCCGCGUGAGUGAAGAAGGCCUUCGGGUUGUAAAGCUCUUUCAGUCGAGAAGAAAAGGCUGUGGUAAAUAAUCACAGUUCAUGACGGUAUCGACAGAAGAAGCACCGGCUAACUACGUG
rnacentral:rRNA from 1 species